rnacentral:rRNA from 1 species
UCGGGCCUUGUAUGCUCGCCAGAGAAUACCAAAACUCUUUUUAUUAAUGUCGUCUGAGUACUAUAUAAUAGUUAAAACUUUCAACAACGGAUCUCUUGGUUCUGGCAUCGAUGAAGAACGCAGCGAAAUGCGAUAAGUAAUGUGAAUUGCAGAAUUCAGUGAAUCAUCGAAUCUUUGAACGCACAUUGCGCCCCUUGGUAUUCCGGGGGGCAUGCCUGUUCGAGCGUCAUUUCAACCCUCAAGCUUAGCUUGGUAUUGAGUCUAUGUCAGUAAUGGCAGGCUCUAAAAUCAGUGGCGGCGCCGCUGGGUCCUGAACGUAGUAAUAUCUCUCGUUACAGGUUCUCGGUGUGCUUCUGCCAAAACCCAAAUUUUUCUAUGGUUGACCUCGGAUCAGGUAGGGAUACCCGCUGAACUUAAGCAUAUCAAUA